rnacentral:lncRNA from 10 species
AUUCUUAAACAAUAUAUCCCAGUGAGGAUACCCAAAAUGAAUCAGGGCCUCUGAUAGCAAUUCCCAAAGAAGAACCCCACAGAUAUUUUGAAAUAAGUGUGUAGCCUUCCAAAGAGAAAGUUAUGAGGAAACUGCAUUCUUUUGGAUUGUUGUUUUAGACUGUGUGAUUUAAAAGAAAAAAGCAGCCAUAAAAUUUAUAAGGUUGCUUUAUUAUAAAUAUUUGAAACUGGCUGACUGUUGAAAUUUUCUGACCUUGGCCAGCACAGCACAACUGCCACCAUUUAGAGAGCACUUGAAACAUCUCAGUGCUCUUUUAAGUGCUUUACGUGUUUUAUCCUAUUUAAUCCUCACAGCAAGUCCAUGAGGUGCAAAUACCCCAUUUUAUAGACGGAGAACCUGAGGCUGAGAGGGGUUGAGAAACUUAUCCCACCUGUAAGUGACAGAAGUCAACUUCAAAGGCCAUGUCUAACUGAUCCCAAAUGCCAUCCUCCUGACCACCAUGACCAGAACCGAGAUUUCUUAACCUGGGGACUGCAAUUUCCUGGAUGAGUUUUGGGGGACUGUGAACAUCCUGAAACUGAACACAAAAAUGCUGUGUAUUCACUUUCCCAAAGGCGGCCAGUGGCUUUCAUCAGAUUCCCAAAAGGGUGCCUGGCCCAUAUGAGAUUAGGAACCACUGCAGCAAUAGAAAGGAGAAUGUUGUCAAUGAUUUUAUCUUGAAAUUUCCACUGAAGUGUAAUCUGAUUGUGCAAUGAAAUUGUUGCAUGCAGCUGCCAAAGCCGAGAGACGGAAUGGGUGAGGACAUCAACCACUCAUUCAUAAGGGUUGGGGCAGGGGCUCACUACACAGGUAGUUGUCACUGUGAGGCUGACAACUCACACUUCACAGGACUAGCGCAAGAAUUGUGUCUUGGCCCCAAGAGGUUCCUCUGUGGCUGCCCUUGCCAUUCACCCACUUUCCAGCAAGCACAGAUGUACAGGGAUCCUGAUGUGGGAGGUGUUCAGCCUGGGGAAGCAGCCCUAUGACUUGUAUGACAACUCCCAGGUGGUUCUGAAGGUCUCCCAGGGCCACAGGCUUUACCGGCCCCACCUGGCAUCGGACACCAUCUACCAGAUCAUGUACAGCUGCUGGCACGAGCUUCCAGAAAAGCGUCCCACAUUUCAGCAACUCCUGUCUUCCAUUGAACCACUUCGGGAAAAAGACAAGCAUUGAAGAAGAAAUUAGGAGUGCUGAUAAGAAUGAAUAUAGAUGCUGGCCAGCAUUUUCAUUCAUUUUAAGGAAAGUAGCAAGGCAUAAUGUAAUUUAGCUAGUUUUUAAUAGUGUUCUCUGUAUUGUCUAUUAUUUAGAAAUGAACAAGGCAGGAAACAAAAGAUUCCCUUGAAAUUUAGAUCAAAUUAGUAAUUUUGUUUAUGCUGCUCCUGAUAUAACACUUUCCAGCCUAUAGCAGAAGCACAUUUUCAGACUGCAAUAUAGAGACUGUGUUCAUGUGUAAAGACUGAGCAGAACUGAAAAAUUACUUAUUGGAUAUUCAUUCUUUUCUUUAUAUUGUCAUUGUCACAACAAUUAAAUAUACUACCAAG